AACGAACGCUGGCGGCAUGCCUAACACAUGCAAGUCGAACGAGACCUUCGGGUCUUGUGGCGCACGGGUGCGUAACGCGUGGGAACCUUCCCUCAGGUUCGGAAUGACUCCCAGAAAGGGGUGCUAAUACCGGAUAAUGUCUUCGGACCCAAGAUGUAUCGCCUUUGGUUGGGUCCGCUUUGGAUUAGCAAGUUGGUAAGGUAAAGGACUACCAAGGCUACGUUCCCUAGCUGGUCUGAGAGGAUGACCAAACACACUGGGAGUGAGACACGUACGAGACUCCUACGGGUGGAAGCAGUGCGGAAUAUUGGACACUGCGCGAAUGCCUGAUGUAGCAAUGCCGCGUGAGUGAGGAAGGCGUUAGGGUCGUAAAGCUCUUUUACCCGUGAUGAUAAUGACGGUACCGGGAGAGUAAGCUACGGCUAACUCCGUG
rnacentral:rRNA from 1 species